AAGUAAUAGAUACUUCAUCCUCACCUAGUAGGUCAAUAUUGUAUGCGUUGUCAUUGACACGCUUUAAAAUUUUGAAUGGUUCGUCUCCUCGAGGAUUCAGCUUAGAUUUUCGCUGCUUGGCAAACUUUUCUUUCCUUAGAUGAACCCAUACCCAUUCUUCUGGUUGGCAAAUGAGGCAUUUCUGUCCCUUAUUAGCAUUGC
rnacentral:lncRNA from 1 species